AUGUGGAGCAGGAUCUGCUUACCCUUCCGGGGCACCUGAGAUCACCCCUAGUUUUUGGUGGGGUUCGUGUUGUUUAUUCUUUAGAUUUCUAUGUUGUGUCAUGUGUACUAUUGUUUUUCUGUUUGUCUUUUUCAUUUUUAGCCAUGGCGUUGUCAGUUUGUUUUAGAUUUAUGAGUUUGACUGUCCCUUUGGUAUCUUUCGUCCCUCUUUUAAUGGUUUGUAUC
rnacentral:lncRNA from 1 species